GCCUACGGGGGGCAGCAGUGAGGAAUAUUGGUCAAUGGGCGAGAGCCUGAACCAGCCAAGUCGCGUGAGGGAAGACGGUCCUAUGGAUUGUAAACCUCUUUUGUCGGGGAGCAAAAGCCGGACUUGUCCGGCUGUGAGAGUACCCAAAGAAAAAGAAUCGGCUAACUCCGUGCCAGCAGCCGCGGUCAUACGGAGGAUGCGAGCGUUAUCCGGAUUUAUUGGGUUUAAAGGGGGCGCAGGCGGAUUUUUAAGUCAUCG
rnacentral:rRNA from 1 species